GAAAAUUUUCCACCCCUCACAAUUACAAUCUUGAUGAUGAAUGAGUGUCACGAAAUAUCUGGGAGCAGUGGAGAAUGUGGUGACAGCGUUUACGUAUGUGUCCCUUACUAUUGAUGUCCAAAGGUGACCAGAUUACUCACCCCUCUGCAGAUGAGCUCCAGACAUUACAUUCCAACAGGAGCCCGGAACCUGAUUUUCUUGACUUCCACUGGAUCACUGAUGGGCUCCCGGCACCUCAGGCAAUCAGAUUUCAGCAGCACUGUCUCAAAACCACAGUGAGGACAAACUCAGCUGUCAGAGUGCCAUGGCCACUUCCAUAUUUCCCAGGAGGGGUAACCUCAUCACAUCCCCAGGGAGCUGCCCUGGGAAUUCUCUGUUUGAAACAGAGCCCUGAAGUGCAAUCCCUUGGCUCUGUGCAGGAAAACAAAAGUCUUCAUUCAGCAUUCAAUUUUCUCCACCCUUCACCACUGGAAUUUUUAUGUGAGCUGAAUUAAAUGUCAGACUGUGAAGGUGAAUGUCCUCAGUGGCUCAGUGAUAUCCAUGGUGUCUUUAGCCAUUGUCAUGAAGCUUCAUUCUGUUCUGAUGAGGCCCUACAGGAAAGUGAGGUGCUCCUGUGUCCAGCUUCACUAUG